AGGCGGCGGCAACGGCGUCCGCGGGGCCCUAGCGCCUGGCCACGCCCCUCUCCCGUUCGUCGCACACGAACACCGUGCGUGUGACGUAAGCACCGCCUGCACGCGGCUGGCACAACAUUGAGGGUCACGCCUACGAAGGGGGCGUGGCCCGUCACAGGCCACAUCACAGAGUACGUGUCCAUGAGUGACAUUUUACAUUCCCAGAUGUGACAGGUAACUCUGCUGCUUUCCUCGUGGCUAAACUGCUCUGAGAGACUCCACCAGUGAGCCCCCGAGGAAAACUAGACCUACCCUGCUCCGUCUGAAAGGCUGAAGUGACCCUCUGCAAACUGAGAGUCAGCUUUUAGAUAACCCCCUGGCUGCUCGUGACCAACAACUGAGG